rnacentral:rRNA from 14 species
AACUUUCAGCAACGGAUGUCUAGGUUCCCACAACGAUGAAGAACGCAGCGAAAUGCGAUACGUAAUGCG